rnacentral:misc_RNA from 1 species
GAAUCAGUAGCUGCAGAGCCUCCAAUCCUUCAAUUGAUUGAAGUUCAUUAUGACUCAGGUCUAGCAUUUGGACCCACAAUAAUUUAGCAAAAGAUCCUAUUCGAGAUAAUGAUAAUUUAUUAAGUCGUAAACACAUAGGAUAGCCACGGCUUGAUGAAGUCAAAUCCCUAUAAUGGAAGCAGCGGCUUAGCAGAGAUUCCCUACUAGACAUAACCUGUUGCAAUAAAACCACGCUAUGUUCAUUUUUGUAGUACUGAUAAUGUGGUGGAUCCAACUUCAUUAGGUCAAUAUACAGUCCAAGAAUUUCUUGAGAAUGGACCAAUUUGCCAGAAGACAUUAAUGCGUCAUAAGCAGUCAACAGUCUUGCCAGUGUAAGUUUUCCAAUUUUACAGUCUGACAACAUACAGAAGUGUUUCAUCUCUUCCUCUAUAAUUUUUACUUGCCAGGCAUUAGCCACUGGCUCGUGUUCAUUUUUUAAACAUAGCUGGUGAAACCAAGCAACUAGAUUUGAUUCCACAAAAUGAGGCUCACAAAGAUAAAAGUUUUCAUCUGUCCAUGAAAUCUUCUCUACGCCUGACCCUUCUUUAAGUUCUUUUUUGACAGGUUGUACACGCACAGUAAAUACAAAAUGCGAAGACUGGCUAUAAUGAAAACCACUAGAAGAAAUGAUUCCUUGACAAUGUCCAACAGUAAUCUCCACAGGAUAAGCUUCUAAAGAAUGGAGAUCUGCAUUGGGAAAACUCAACUGUGUAAUCCAAGCUUGGGCAGCCCUAGACUUAUAUGUUGAAAGAGGUUUCCAAACAAGACCCUGAUUCAAGUUAGAUCCAUAUUCAACGUUGACUGUAGAUGAGUUUACACCUUCAACAGCCUGACUAAAGUAAAGAAUCAGUGGAAAUGUUCCUGAAUCAAAUUGGAAUAUAUUGAAUGGAGAAGAAGAAGCAUCCAGGCAUCUGUCUUGAAAAAGAAUGAGAUCAGAGCCAUGAGCAGGCCAUGAAGAAACCAGCAGAGGAGACUUAGCUUUAACAGUUUGGUCAAGAAGCCAAAGAUGAUAAAACCAACCACUUUGAUCAUCUUCAUCUGUAAAAAGAGCUUCACGUACUAAUUCAUACUCCUUGGUUAAAACCUCAUCUUUUUCAGUAAAACCUUCUACAUUUUUCUUCAUCAAAUUAGACAGAAGAACACUUCGAUUGUGCCAAGCAGAAUAAUUACUGAUAUUCUUAUCAAUUAGAUUCUGGGUGUACUCUAAUUCAUCCACAUCUGAUCUGUCCAUCAAUGCUGCUAUAAAUCUCCGAUAACUCCACGCAUGAAAAUUUCGAGGAUCAGCACUUUGGAACUUUUCCAAAAGCCACAACUCCUUCUCUAUUGAAGAAUGCCGUUUACUUAGCACCCACUUGCGAUGAUGCCAAGCCGAAUAUGAUUUAAAAUUUUGCCUCAGCGCAAUCUCUACCACUCGAAGCUCUUCCUCGAGAAUUGACUUGACUGAGUUAGGAUUGGAG